AGUUCGGAUUGCAGGCUGCAACUCGCCUGCAUGAAGCUGGAAUUGCUAGUAAUCGCGGAUCAGCAUGCCGCGGUGAAUACGUUCCCGGGCCUUGUACACACCGCCCGUCACACCAUGAGAGUCGGGAACACCCGAAGUCCGUAGUCUAACCGCAAGGGGGGCGCGGCCGAAGGUGGGUCCGGUAAUUGGGGUGAAGUCGUAACAAGGUAAC
rnacentral:rRNA from 1 species